rnacentral:rRNA from 1 species
UGGGUAGGAUAGAGGCCUACCAUGGUGAUGACGGGUAACGGGGAAUAAGGGUUCGAUUCCGGAGAGAGGGCCUGAGAAACGGCCCUCAGUCCUAAGGGACGCAGCAGGCGCGCAAAUUAUCCCAUCCCGACACGGGGAGAUAGUGACAAUAAAUAACAAUAUAGGGCUCUUUUGGGUCCUAUAAUUGGAAUGAGUACAAUUUAAAUCCCUUAACGAGGAUCAAUUGGAGGGCAAGUCUGGUGCCAGCAGCCGCGGUAAUUCCAGCUCCAAUGGCGUAUAUUAAAGUUGUUGCCGUUAAAAAGCUCGUAGUCGAACUUCGGCCUCUGCCGCCCGGUCCGCCUAAUUGGGUGUGUACUGGAGCGGUGGAGGCUUACCUCGUGGUGAACGGCCAUGCCCUUUACUGGGUGUGGUCGGGAACCAUGACUUUUACUGUGAAAAAAUUAGAGUGUUCAAAGCAGGCUUACGCCCGAAUACAUUAGCAUGGAAUAAUAAAAUAGGACGUGCGGUCCUAUUUUGUUGGUUUCUAGGAUCGCCGUAAUGAUUAAUAGGGAUAGUUGGGGGCAUUCGUAUUCAAUUGUCAGAGGUGAAAUUCUUGGAUUUGUUGAAGACGAACUACUGCGAAAGCAUUUGCCAAGGAUGUUUUCAUUGAUCAAGAACGAAGGUUAGGGGAUCGAAAACGAUCAGAUACCGUUGUAGUCUUAACAGUAAACGAUGCCGACUAGGGAUCGGAUGAGGUUUUUAAUGACUCAUUCGGCACCUGAAGAGAAAUCUUUAA